GCGAACGCUGGCGGCAGGCCUAACACCUGCCAGUCGCACGAACCUUUCGGGGUUAGUGGCGGACGGGUGAGUAACACGUGGGAACGUGCCUUUAGGUUCGGAAUAACUCAGGGAAACUUGUGCUAAUACCGAAUGUGCCCUUCGGGGGAAAGAUUUAUCGCCUUUAGAGCGGCCCGCGUCUGAUUAGCUAGUUGGUUGAGGUAAUGGCUCACCAAGGCGACGAUCAGUAGCUGGUCUGAGAGGAUGAUCAGCCACAUUGGGACUGAGACACGGCCCAAACUCCUACGGGAGGCAGCAGUGGGGAAUCUUGCGCAAUGGGCGAAAGCCUGACGCAGCCAUGCCGCGUGAAUGAUGAAGGUCUUAGGAUUGUAAAAUUCUUUCACCGGGGACGAUAAUGACGGUACCCGGAGAAGAAGCCCCGGCUAACUUCGUG
rnacentral:rRNA from 1 species